UACAGAGGGUGCGAGCGUUAAUCGGAAUCACUGGGUUUAAAGGGUACGUAGGCGGUUAAUUAAGUCAGUAGUGAAAGACUGUCGCUCAACGACGGAUGUGCUAUUGAUACUGGUUAACUUGAAUCAGGUUAGAGUUGGCGGAAUGGGUCAUGUAGCGGUGAAAUGCUUAGAUAUGACUUGGAACACCGAUAGCGAAGGCAGCUGACUGAGCCUUGAUUGACGCUGAGGUACGAAAGUGUGGGUAGCGAACAGG
rnacentral:rRNA from 1 species